GGUGCACUGUUGUGAGUUGCACUAACAACAGUCGAAAAAAACAGGAUAAAAUUUUUUUUUCGCUGCUCAAGGAUCCAAAAAAAAAUCUUCCGUAUAAGGAAAAACCAAAAGUCAGAGAAAUAUCUGAACGGAGGAAAGAAAAGGAUGUUAAGGAGGUGAAUGGGGGCUGGUAACUAGGUGGUCGUUCGAAACUCUCUGUCAUGGAGUGCCACCAAAGAUGUUCACAGCGUACUCUUCAAUAAAACCACCGCUCGGAAUUCUUCGUGUUCCGUAAUACAUUUUUUAUCUGAAAAAUAUUACAAUAUUACUCAAUCACACUCGCAUCUAAGAAUUACUCAUGAAGGAGUAGAAACUUUUAUACCAUGUAAUUGAAAAUAUUUAAUAGAGUCCAGUCUUUUUCAGGAGAGGCGUGCGAUCGCACGCGCACGCCUUGGCACACGCCUAAAUCGUUUCAGGCGUGUGAUUAAUCGCACGCCUGAAAAAUAAAUAUUGAGUUUUCAAAAUCAACCUAUAAAAUCCAUAGAUCUCAGAAAUUAUUGAAUAGUCCUGGUCCUUUUAAUCCACGAGCAAGCCUAUUCAUAGCCAACCUGACCAUCCUAGCUAAUUCACCGACUCCUGACUUAGUUAAAAGAACUACGUAGACAUAAAUCUCUUUAGCCUGGCCCCUUCGUCGUUGGUAACCAGGUCUUACACAAGAAAUCCAGCCAUGCGGUUCUUAACUAAUGCGGAGGUGAACGCCGACGGAGCACGGAUGAAGCAAGUCUGCAAAACUGCACUUACAGGCGGAAUAGACAUUUUAUCAUGGAUUUAAUUGUAGAUAAUUUCUUCAUUUGACAAAAUAAUUGGAAACCAUAGCAGGUCCGAAUUUAAUGGAUUUUUUCUUUAUGCCUGUAAAACCGAAACCCACGGGCGGUAUAAUUUUUUUUCUGCAAAAAUUUUGUUAAAGUGUAGCUGAACUUUUUGAAUGAAUUUUGAAGUUUUAUUUAAGCCACGUGGAUAAAGAUUUUUUUUAAUUUGAAAACAAAGCAUAUUUUUGCCUAUUUGCUUGUGAAAAAUAAACAAUAAAUAUAAAAAUGACAGUAUAGUCAUGCAUACUAUUUCGGACAUGUAGAAAAGGAAGUUAAGAUUGAGAGAGUCGCUAUACCAGUAGACGCUCGAUCAUCGUGUUUGGGGUUCACGAUUUAAAACGUCCCCCACUUUUCUACCGCAAAAUGAAUGCGCAACAAAAAUAACCUCGGAGCCCGUAUCGCAGGCGUAACAUUCUUUGCACGUGCGUUUUACAUCGCACGCGUUACUUGAUUUACACGUGCUGCGAAUCAUCGCACACCUACUCAAAUAUUCCUGAAAAAGACUGAGAGUCUGUCUCGUGACAGCAAAAACAUUCUACACUUCAGAGGGCAUCCUCUCACAUUUAGGAGUAGGAGCAACAAGGUUUCCAAUGUUAUGUUCGUCUACGUCUUGAAAAGUCGGAACUAGCUCAUCAUUCGCUGUUCUUUCCGGCUCGAAUUGAAAUCCUAGAACCUGCGAAUUAUUUUCAUUCAUUGCUAUCUUCAUAAAGAACUUUUUUAAACAAAGGAAAAAAAUUAUAAAUAAACAUUUAGUCGUUCGAUGCGCAAGUCGCCUAAUAAGAAGCCAGGUAACUACGUCACAAGCAAAAAUGUGCUGAAUAAUGAAUUGACCCAGUCCUUUUGCCGCGUUUGAAAGUUUGUGAAGAUGGUAGGCUAGUGCAGCAAGAUCAAAACAAACAAACGAUGGUGCUAAGUAUUGGAUAAAUCUUUGUUGUUUAAGAGUGCAAUCUUCGUUAUUUUUGAUACUUAAUAAAACAAAAGAAAAUAUAUUGUUUUUUAAUCGGACAGUACCUUUAACAGUAAAUCACCUGUUAUCAAACCAUGCACCAUAAGCAUUUUUGAAAAAUCUUUAACGAGAGAAAUUUUUAAGGAUUUUAUUAGUAACUUAACUGAGUAAUAAUUCAUUGAAAGUUAUUAUAUAUAUUCGAAUCAUGAAGUUCAUACAUAGCAAUCCAGCAUCCUGGAAUUUUCAGAAUUUUUCAGAUCAAGAUCAGUUAUAAAAAAAUCCAGUUAAAGUUUUAACUAUUGUUUUAGAAUAUAUACUAUAUGUAAAAAAAAAUAUUUUUUAUAUAUUAAGUUGUAUUUUACGUUAAUUACAAUAAUAAUUGAGAAUUAGGAUA